ensembl:lncRNA
CGUGAAGCCAGAAGAAGUGCUUUUGUACCAGAGCAAGACGUCUCAUCAAGCCAACAAGUAUCCACCUUCAAGCCAUGUGCAUCUGUUGGACAUCAGGAUGAAGAAUGGAAAUUUGUCCUUGGCCCUGCAGGAUGUGAUGCUGCCUGAGACUGGAACAUAUGAGUGUCAGGCCAUCGACAAAGGAAGACACCAGUGGAAGACUCCCAUUGAGAACGCUGACACCAUCAACACCAUCAACACCAUCCAGCUGAUAAUUGAUCGAGAGGAAUCAGCAGAGAGCAUGACGAACUUAAAGGACACUCUGAAGAAACACUACAAAAUGAAGGACAUGGGUGAGCUAUCGUACAUUCUGGGCAUCUCAGUGGUCCAAGACAAGGACAAAAACCAUGUUGUGCUUCAUCAGAGACAGUAUAUUGAAAACAUACUACAAAAGUAUGGAAUGUACAGUGCCAAUCCUGUAGGAACUCCAGCCGACACAAAUGUCAAAUUGAGAAAGAGUGAUGAUGUCAGUCAACCUGUAAACCCAAGCAUGUAUCAGUCAAUGGUUGGAAGUUUAUUGUAUGCUG